rnacentral:rRNA from 1 species
UCAAGCUAAUAAGGGCUAACGGUGGAUACCUAGGCACGCAGAGGCGACGAAGGACGUGGUUACCGACGAUAUGCUCCGGGGAGUUGGAAGCAAACAUAGAGCCGGAGAUUUCCGAAUGGGGCAACCCUAUAUACUACCUGUUGAAUAUAUAGACAGGAGAGAGCCAACCCAGCGAACUGAAACAUCUUAGUAGCUGGAGGAAGAGAAAUCAAUAGAGAUUCCCUAAGUAGUGGUGAGCGAACGGGGAAGAGCCUAAACCAGUCGGAUUUCCGAUUGGGGUAGUGGGACAGCAAUAUCGAAUCCAAAGGUUAGACGAAGCAGCGAAAUACUGCACCAGAGAAGGUGAAAGUCCUGUAAUUGAAAACUGUAUGGAUAGUAGCUGUAUCCCGAGUAGCAUGGGGCACGAGGAAUCCCAUGUGAAUCAGCGAGGACCAUCUCGUAAGGCUAAAUACUACUGUGUGACCGAUAGUGAACCAGUACCGCGAGGGAAAGGUGAAAAGAACCCCUAACAGGGGAGUGAAAUAGAACAUGAAACCGUUAGCUUACAAGCAGUGGGAGGACGAUUCAACGUCUGACCGCGUGCCUGUUGAAGAAUGAGCCGGCGACUUAUAGGCACUGGUAGGUUAAGGCAAGAAUGCCGCAGCCAUAGGGAAACCGAGUCUGAAAAGGGCGAUUAAAUCAGUGUUUAUAGACCCGAACCCUGGUGAUCUAACCAUGUCCAGGAUGAAGCUUGGGUAACACCAAGUGGAGGUCCGCACCGACCGAUGUUGAAAAAUCGGCGGAUGAGGUGUGGUUAGGGGUGAAAUGCCAAUCGAACCAGGAGCUAGCUGGUUCUCCCCGAAAUGUGUUUAGGCGCAGCGGUAAUGAUUAUAGUCUGGGGGUAAAGCACUGUUUCGGUGCGGGCUGGGAGACCGGUACCAAAUCGAGACAAACUCUGAAUACCAGAUGCACACAUUGCCAGACAGACAGUGGGGGAUAAGCUUCAUUGUCAAGAGGGAAACAGCCCAGACCACCAGCUAAGGUCCCCAAAUCAUCGCUAAGUGAUAAAGGAGGUGAGAGUGCAUAGACAACUAGGAGGUUUGCCUAGAAGCAGCCACCCUUGAAAGAGUGCGUAAUAGCUCACUAGUCAAGCGCUCUCGCGCCGAAAAUGAACGGGGCUAAGCGAUGUACCGAAGCUGUGGGAUAUAUCUAUCGAUGUAUCGGUAGGGGAGCGUUCCGUAUUAGGUAGAAGCACUAGCGGCGAGCAGGUGUGGACGAAACGGAAGUGAGAAUGUCGGCUUGAGUAGCGCAAACAUUGGUGAGAAUCCAAUGCCCCGAAACCCUAAGGGUUCCAGAGCCAGGUUCGUCCCCUCUGGGUUAGUCAGGUCCUAAGGCGAGGUCGAACGGCGUAGUCGAUGGACAACGGGUGAAUAAUCCCGUACUCAAUUGAAUUUGUGCAGAGGGACGGAGGAGGCAAAUGUCAGCCGGAUGUUGGUUACCGGUUCAAGCGUCAAGGUGAUGAGAGUCGGUGAAAACGAUUCGAGCCAAGACGGGAGUACGACCCGAUACGUCGGGGAAGUGGCAUAGUCUGACUUCCAAGAAAAGCUCUAAACACGUUAAGUUCAGUUGACCUGUACCCGAAACCGACACAGGUAGGGUGGUUGAGAAUACUAAGGGGCGCGAGAUAACUCUCUCUAAGGAACUCGGCAAAAUGGCCCCGUAACUUCGGAAGAAGGGGUGCCCACCGUAACAAGUGGGUCGCAGUGAAGAGAUCCAGGCGACUGUUUACCAAAAACACAGGUCUCCGCAAACUCGAAAGAGAAAGUAUGGGGGCUGACGCCUGCCCAGUGCCGGAAGGUUAAGGAAGUCGGUCAGGGGGAAACCCUAAAGCUGGCGACUGAAGCCCCGGUGAACGGCGGCCGUAACUAUAACGGUCCUAAGGUAGCGAAAUUCCUUGUCGGGUAAGUUCCGACCCGCACGAAAGGCGUAACGAUCUGGAUGGUGUCUCAGAGAGAGACUCGGCGAAAUAGGAAUGUCUGUGAAGAUACGGACUGCCUGCACCUGGACAGAAAGACCCUAUGAAGCUUUACUGUAGCCUGGAAUUGUGUCCGGGCUUCGCUUGCGCAGGAUAGGUGGGAGGCGUUGAAAGUGCCCUUGUGGGGGUACUCGAGCCAACGGUGAGAUACCACUCUGGCGAAGCUAGGAUUCUAACUCACUUCCGUAAUCCGGAAGGGGAACAGUUUCAGGUGGGCAGUUUGACUGGGGCGGUCGCCUCCUAAAAGGUAACGGAGGCG